rnacentral:miRNA from 1 species
UUGGAAAGUUGUGCCAGGAUAGGAAGACUUCAGGAAGCUUCUUUGAGGACUUCUGACUUGUGCUGCUGCCUCUUUGCCUCAGAAAUU